rnacentral:rRNA from 1 species
UACGUAGGGUGCAAGCGUUAAUCGGAAUUACUGGGCGUAAAGCGUGCGCAGGCGGUUUUGUAAGUUUGUCGUGAAAGCCCCGGGCUCAACCUGGGAAUUGCGAUGAAGACUGCAAGGCUUGAAUCUGGCAGAGGGGGUAGAAUUCCGACGUGUAGCAGUGAAAUGCGUAGAGAUGUGGAGGACACCGAUGGCGAAGGCAGCCCCCUGGGUCAAGAUUGACGCUCAUGCACGAAAGCGUGGGGAGCAAACAGGA